AGUGAACGCUGGCGGUAGGCCUAACACAUGCAAGUCGAACGGCAGCACAGUAAGAGCUUGCUCUUACGGGUGGCGAGUGGCGGACGGGUGAGGAAUACAUCGGAAUCUACUUUUUCGUGGGGGAUAACGUAGGGAAACUUACGCUAAUACCGCAUACGACCUACGGGUGAAAGCAGGGGAUCUUCGGACCUUGCGCGAUUGAAUGAGCCGAUGUCGGAUUAGCUAGUUGGCGGGGUAAAGGCCCGCCAAGGCGACGAUCCGUAGCUGGUCUGAGAGGAUGAUCAGCCACACUGGAACUGAGACACGGUCCAGACUCCUACGGGAGGCAGCAGUGGGGAAUAUUGGACAAUGGGCGCAAGCCUGAUCCAGCCAUACCGCGUGGGUGAAGAAGGCCUUCGGGUUGUAAAGCCCUUUUGUUGGGAAAGAAAAGCAGCGGGUUAAUACCCCGCUGUUCUGACGGUACCCAAAGAAUAAGCACCGGCUAACUUCGUG
rnacentral:rRNA from 1 species